CAGUAGCCACGGUAAUACGAAGGGGGCUAGCGUUGCUCGGAAUCACUGGGCGUAAAGGGUGCGUAGGCGGGUCUUUAAGUCAGGGGUGAAAUCCUGGAGCUCAACUCCAGAACUGCCUUUGAUACUGAAGAUCUUGAGUUCGGGAGAGGUGAGUGGAACUGCGAGUGUAGAGGUGAAAUUCGUAGAUAUUCGCAAGAACACCAGUGGCGAAGGCGGCUCACUGGCCCGAUACUGACGCUGAGGCACGAAAGCGUGGGGAGCAAACAGGAUUAGAGACCCGAGUAGUCCCUGUCUCUUAUAC
rnacentral:rRNA from 1 species